UUCUUUGAGCCACAGGGUGAGGUGUCCAGUUGGAACGCGGAGAAGUCAGAGCAGCGCUGCUGGGGCUGUGAGCGCCUUAAGCGGAGAGAGUCAAGUGAUCCAAGCCGGGCAGGCCCUGGGAGGACUCCUCUGCUGAGUCAGCGCCAUCUGUUUCUGUUGUCUUCAUGGCCUCUGCUUCCUUCCGAUCAUUGUACCAGGCCACAAAUGGCUGCCAUGGUUCCAGGUUUUUAGAUUCACCGUUCUCAAUGGCGUUUUCCACUUCUCCUGGACAAAAAGGAGACUUAUCAUCUUGGGCCUCCAAGCCAGGGCACGGAAGACAGAAAACCUUAACUGCAGUGCCUGGUCCCAGCUCCUGAAGACGUGUGCAAGUUUUAUGACUGAGGGCUCUGCUGUUUAAUGUCACCAGAACAAGCUGAUGGAGUCACAGCCUUAUUAGUCACCCCGAUCGGACUUCCACUCAAAAUGAAGAGAGGAUACCCUGAAGAGAGGGUGGGGAGGUCCGGAAAAAGUUGGUGCCAUCUGAGGAUCCUGUGGGGUGAAUACUGGACGGAGCAUCUAAAAGGCACCAGCUGUAGAAGGACUUUUCCUCAUGUCUGCCCCAGGUUCCUAGAAUGAUGAGCUUGCUAGGGGUCCCAACUUUGGAAAAUGCAGUCAAGUUACUACAACUGGGGGAAAAGAUGGAUUUCAAAA